rnacentral:ncRNA from 2 species
GUCAAUCUAUAAGAACAGGAUGCCUCUCCCCCGGAUGGGAAGGCUUAAUGGCGAAGCCGGUGUGAGUCCGGUGCUGUCCCGCAACUGUAAGUUCAGAGAAUAGUGACCAGGAUCUCCUGAACAAGUCAGGCCGCCCGUCCUGUUCGAUCCAGUCGG